rnacentral:lncRNA from 1 species
CCCCGGCCUCAGCUGAACCACCGCCCAGAGUGUCGUACCAAGUGACCCGACAGGGCGAGCGUCUGAACGGCUGCUGGGUCCCGUGCUGUCGGGAGGAAGUGGGCGAAGGCGAAUAUGCUAGGCCAGAUUGUUGAGCAGAUAAGCUCAGGGUGGUGUUGGGAAGGCCCCUGGGAUCGGUCCCCGGGGUCCGUUGGCUGCUUCUAGAAGCAUCCGCGGUAACCAGGGAGGUGAAUGAGUGAGGGGUCCUGGGAAAACUGAGCAAAAGCUCAGUCAGCAGGGUGGCUGGCUUGUUGAGAUCGCUGAGACCAGCCAGAGUUUGACAUAGGCGUGCUGAGAAAGGUAGAUAGCUGCCCUUCCAGUGCUUAGAUGAAAUUUAAGUAUUUAGGAACUUAGAUAUAAAAAGCACAGGGUUUGCCUGGGAGUAGUGGCACAUGAGUUAACUAGUCUAUGUAGUGCCAGGACAGCCUAUGCUAUAUAAUAGACCCUGUCUCAAAAGGCUGGGAGAGCUUGUUGUUGUACCCCUGUGAUCCCUGUCUUGGAGACCAGAAGGAUUAGAAGAUACAGUUAAUCCUUGGCUGCAUAGAAUACCAUCUGAAUACCAGGAGAAGAGCAGUAAUGCCUACAGAAAGCGAGAUUUACAGCUGUUGAGUGCAGCCGGCACUGUGAAGUUCUGCUCCACCGACCCACUCUGUCCUCCCUCUAGUUCCUCCUGAUGGACUCUGGGACCUCCAUCUUCCUCUAAUGGCUGGACCCCCCGGGGUGGUGGUGGUGGCUUUGAGGAAGUCCCUGCCUGAAAGCGCGAUAAGGUAUUUGCAAAUUCAUCUUCCUGGAUGAGAAUUUCUUGAAGUCGGUCAUGCGUAUAAACCAAGUGUGGUAGUGAACGCUUGUCAUCCCAGCAUUCUGCAGGCUGAGACAGGAGAAUCUUGAGGGCUGUCGAAAUGAACACAGCAUUGAAGUAUAGGACAUUGGAUCACAGUGUGAAAUGAAUUUGGUUUUUGCUUGUUAUUGCUAGGAGAGUUUGAAGGUUGUGGAAGUGUGCAGGAGAGGCUGAACAUGGCUGAAGGUGGCAGACUCUGAGCACUUUCUGAGCUGUGAUGGACCAGUUACUAAGAGCUUGGGACAUCAGAGAAAGCUCAACUGAAAGAGAGGGCUUUGCCUGGCCUCACCUUGGUCAGGAGACUGCUGCUGGGCUCCCUGCCCCACCCCCAACCUGGACCUAGUUCUUUGAACUGAAAGAGCUGAAAGCCUGACAUCAAUGACAUCAGUGGGAAGGCAGGUUGAUAAGCAGAACACGGAAGACGCAGGAGAAUCAAUUGCUUCUGCCUAACUUUCCUUAUUCUGCUAACGACACAUGCUCAGGAAGGUCGUACAUGGAACUCUGAGGGCUUCAGAAAUUCACCAGCAUUGCUAAGAAAUCGUCUCCCCAGCCCCCAGCCUGGCAUCUCCCCGACCUCUGAAGAAGGGAAGAGUUCAGCCCUCUAGAGUUACAGCCUAAAGAGCUUGAUUCCUCCAAGGCUGAUGAGCUCUGGUGACCAGUGCUGGCCAGACUAUAAUAAUUAAGAACUCAGAGAUAGCGGACAAUGGUGGCACACACCUUUAAUCCCAGCAGAGACAGAUGCAUCUCUAAGUUCAAGACCAGCCUGGUCUUCGAAGUGAGUUCCAGGACAGCCAGGGCUACACAGAGAAAUCCUGUCUCUGGGAGGAUGGGGGAACCCCUAAAGAUGACUUUGCUGAGCUGGAUUCAGCCCAUCUGGUAUUUUCUUGCUGUGUGAAUAAAACUUCUGGGUUUGACUUGUUUUUGUGCAGUUUCCCUUUUCUUCAGCUUAGAUACAUGGGUUUGGAGUUUACCACCCUGCCGGAGAGCUUCAGGACAUUUUCAGCCCAGUGACUGUGCUACAUGAGCUCAUCUGCCUUCUCAGAGUCUCGCGCUCUCCUGCAGCCGGGAUUCAUGAGAGCUCUACUCUGACAGCCCCAAGGAGCUGCUGCUACCCAUCUGGUGUCCUGAUGCCACCAGCAUCAUCCACGAAAUCUGUGGAUUGGCCCACUGCUGCCACUGAUUGCCUUCAGGCAAGUGGUCUCACCCCAUCUUAGGACAGCUCUCUCCUGCAGAGCCGUUCUGAGGUUUUUCAGGAGCUACUGUGUGGAAAGCACCUGGCAACAUAGAAGGCAUCUGGGGCGUUCAGGUCUCCAGCCAGACCUUCUUCCCACCAUGGCUUCCUGAAGUUGGCCAGGUCUCCUUCCACUCCCUGUAGUCAUUCAACAGUUACUCUUUAAUUACCUACUUUAUCUAAGGUAGAGCAUUUUCCCGGAGCUGGGAGCCAGCAUCUGUAACAUACAUGUGGCCUGAGUUUGAUGCUCAGCCAUGGGAGAGGGCAGGUAAAAAAACAUUCUCCAAACUUUCUGGGUAAUGUAGUUGGGAAGUGGUUGUUUUCGGUGUUUAAUGCAUCAGUUGACUUUUA